ensembl:lncRNA
CCUAAACCUCUUGGGGACGUGGCAGAACUUGUGCUUAAAGGACUACAUGCUAUUAUUCAGAAGCAUGAACACAUGAUAUUGCAAACUAUUCUAGUGCACACAUACGCACACACACACCCCUACACAGGAGUCAACACCUCACCCUGAACAUUUUUACAUUAUUGGCAUGUUGCAGAGCACGUUCUGCUUCUCCACAUUUUAAUUCUGAGCUACAGCUAAUCAAAGCACAGGCUCCAUCCUUGGCAGCAGCAGAGCCCAGAUGUGCAGUUCCUGGAAGGAAUCGCUCCCACAGUGUCAUCUGGCUAUCACCUCCCCUCGCCUGGUUUCUCCAGCGGAUUCCAAAGUGGCGAUGCUGUGUAUCAUGCCAGUUUCACCUACGUUCACACCAUUCUUUUGUAAACGGGAGUACCUGGUUCACUUUACACGUUUCUAAACUGAGAAGGAAGAAAUCACAGCAUCCAGACUUCCAUUAGAGGGUCACUUCUCCCCUGCUGUGUGCGGUCUUGGUGACCCUAUAAAUCAAGGUGCCCAACCCUCUUCUUCUAAGGGCUGGGCACACGACUAAAUUCCAGCUGCUUUAGCUCCAUUCUCUCUCCCUCUCCUUCCCUCCUUCUCCUUCUUUUUCUCUCUCUUUCCUUCUUCUAAGACUUUGAGUCUUGAGAAAACGACGAAAGAACAAGGAAAACAGUUGGAAUGCAUGUUCACUGGCUGUGCCCUCCAAGACUGGGGAGAAGUUCCUGGUGCUUAAACCCUCAGAAACAGUCUCCAAUUAUGGCCCUUUAACCAGAAACAUUUGAAAAAUGAAUAAUGCGGAAGGUGCGAAGCUACAUAGAGGCUGAGUCUGCCUAAAAAUGUUGUUGUACCAUAGCACAGCAUUAAAGAAAACCAGAAAAACAAGUAGGUAGCUAGAGCCAAUUCAAAUUCUACACGGGAUCUAUCUAUCGUCCAAACAGUGGAAACACAUUUGGCAGCUAUUAAAGGAUGCUGCCAGAAGCAGAACCGAAGUUUCCAGACUCUGAUUUUACCACUGCAUCCCCUGCAGCCACUCUGAUUGUUAGUGAGUCCUUGUCUUGAGAGGUCUUCGAGGAAUCCUGGCUCAGCAAAGGGUAUGAGGGAGGUUUGCUACUGAUGGCUUCAGGGGUUUGAGAGGGGCAAGGAUGGCCUGAUGUUCUGCUAUUUGACCUUUUGGCUUACUCUUCACUGCCUUCUAUGAGACUAUAUAUAUUUAAUUGCCCCUGAAUGACAUAAGCAAUAAGUCUCAACUGCACUGAAUAUAUUUGAUCUUGUCUAUAUUAAAUAGAAGGGAAAAAGUUUUUUCAGUUUUUACUUAUUUGUUUUUGACAAAUAAAAACUGUAUAUAUUUAAGAUACCCAAGGUGAUGUUUUGAUAUAUGUAUACAUUGUGAAAUGAUUACAACAAUUAGACUAAUCAACAUAUCCAUCACCUCUCAUAGUUACCAUUGUGUGUGUGUGUGUGUGUGGAGAGAACACUUGGCAGCUAUUCUCUUAGCAAACUUCAAGAAUACAACACAUUAUUAUUAACCUUGGCCACCAUGCUGUAUAUUAGGUCUCUGGAACUUAUUCACCUUAUAACUAAGAGUUUGUACACUUUGAUUGAUAUCUCCUCUUUCCGCUCCCCCACCUCUGGUAACCAGGAACCACCCUUCUACUAUCUGUUACUAUGAAUUCAACUUUUUGGAAAAACAGUCUUGCUCACUCCAGGGGAGAGGAGGGGCUUUGAAUGGAACCCUGAAGAAUGGAAAGGCUCCAUCUGGAUGAGAGAAAAGGGAAAACCAUCACCAGACACAGGAAGAGAAGGAACGCAGUGAUCAUUCUGCAGAGAAGUAAAGAAUCCAGUUUGGUUGGAGAACAAGAUUUAUAGAUAGGAGUCCUGGGGAAAUGACUGGAAGGAUAGAAGGCAGCCUGAUUACCAGUAACCCUAAAUGAUGGUAUGGAAAUUUGAUGCUAAACUGGUGCAGGUUUGGGGAGAGGGAAGAGUUGAAGAAGAAAAGAAGUUUUAGUAUUUGCUUUAAAAAGCUUAUUUUUCAUAAAUAUGCUUGUGAUAUACACUUAAUUGGCAAUAUAAGGCAAUUUAACUUACCGCACUCUAUACAAAUUGAACCAAAAUAUAUAUUGUCUUUAAUAUUUUAGAAAUGUAUAAAAGAUCCUCUCUUAAAUGCUGCUACAUCAGGCAUACAAGAACAUGAGAAAUUCACCUGUGGUUACUUCAGAAAAUAUAUACAAUACACGUAAACUGUAUCAUAAAAGCUUAAAACAUGGUACAAAAAGUUUUAGUAUUUCCAUGCCAGUUUACAAAAAUUGAAUCCCUAUAACAUUGUCUUAGGGGAAAUAACAUAUGUUCACAUUUGAAACCAUCACAAUAGCUACCUGGAUUCAAUUAAUAUUGCAUGUAGAUGGUAGAUUUACACAAACCAAUAUUCAAGAGAGUGAAUCUGAUCAACAGCAUUAGCUCAGCUACUCAACUGGGGUAAAUAAGGAAAUUUAAUAUAUUGGUGGUCCAUUUUUCUGAUUCUUAUAUAAAAUGAAAUAUUCAGUUUCAUCCUUAGCUCUCCAGAGUUGGUAACCAUACUAUAGCAAGAUGUUCUUUCUACACUCAAUGUGCAUAGUCAUCAGUGUCCUUGACUUUAAGUUGACAAACACUCAGUUACAAUACAGACCCCAUAUAAGCUCAAGACAACCAACUUUUAAAAGAGAAAGUGCUCCUCUUGGAAGAUUGGAGCAGAACAUUUAGUUGUGCUUUUAAAAGUCCUUAUCAACGAGAAGUAAUGCCGAAAAGGAAAAAGCAGCUUUAACAACAGAGGGAAAAAAAUAAGUUAAACAUCUUAAAAAACAGUGUGAAAAGCAAAUUUAAAAAACAGUUAAAGAGAGAUACAUUUUGAGAGACUAACAAAAAUUAGAUCUCCAGCAUUUCAGGGGAUCAUCACUAGUAAGUAAUCAUAACUUUGCAAGGACCAGGUUCUGUUUUUUUAAUCCUUUAUAAUUAAAAUUUUUAGUUUCCAUUCUGUCAACAAGGGAAAGCCGAUACAGCAAUGAUUCAAGGGCAAUUUUAUGUAAAUAUCACAGAUUUCAGACGAAAAGUCAUACUCAACAGAAGCAAAAGUUCAUAG